UGGCAGCCUGCAAGAUGGAUCUCGGAAAGU
rnacentral:piRNA from 1 species